UACGUAGGGGGCAAGCGUUGUCCGGAAUCAUUGGGCGUAAAGCGCGUGUAGGCGGCUUGGUAAGUCGGGUGUGAAAUCUCGGGGCUUAACUCCGAAACUGCAUUCGAUACUGGCCGUGCUUGAGGACUGGAGAGGAGACGUGGAAUUUACGGUGUAGCGGUGAAAUGCGUAGAUAUCGUAAGGAAGACCAGUGGCGAAGGCGGGUCUCUGGAC
rnacentral:rRNA from 1 species